rnacentral:rRNA from 1 species
AAAUUGAAGAGUUUGAUCAUGGCUCAGAUUGAACGCUGGCGGCAGGCCUAACACAUGCAAGUCGAACGGUAACAGAAAGCAGCUUGCUGCUUUGCUGACGAGUGGCGGACGGGUGAGUAAUGUCUGGGAAACUGCCUGAUGGAGGGGGAUAACUACUGGAAACGGUGGCUAAUACCGCAUAACGUCGCAAGACCAAAGAGGGGGACCUUCGGGCCUCUUGCCAUCAGAUGUGCCCAGAUGGGAUUAGCUUGUUGGUGAGGUAACGGCUCACCAAGGCGACGAUCCCUAGCUGGUCUGAGAGGAUGACCAGCCACACUGGAACUGAGACACGGUCCAGACUCCUACGGGAGGCAGCAGUGGGGAAUAUUGCACAAUGGGCGCAAGCCUGAUGCAGCCAUGCCGCGUGUAUGAAGAAGGCCUUCGGGUUGUAAAGUACUUUCAGCGGGGAGGAAGGUGUUGCGGUUAAUAACCGCAGCAAUUGACGUUACCCGCAGAAGAAGCACCGGCUAACUCCGUGCCAGCAGCCGCGGUAAUACGGAGGGUGCAAGCGUUAAUCGGAAUUACUGGGCGUAAAGCGCACGCAGGCGGUCUGUCAAGUCGGAUGUGAAAUCCCCGGGCUCAACCUGGGAACUGCAUUCGAAACUGGCAGGCUUGAGUCUUGUAGAGGGGGGUAGAAUUCCAGGUGUAGCGGUGAAAUGCGUAGAGAUCUGGAGGAAUACCGGUGGCGAAGG